CUGCAAUUAAUUUCAGGUGCAAAUCAAACUAAUUCAUUACUCUAGGCAGAUUAUUUGGUGAAACUUCUGCCUGUAUCCAGUUUGAGCCACUUCACCAUAAGUCAGACUCCCUCAUUCCUGUGUGUUGCAAUAGGCAUACCAGACCAAUCUGGAAGUACAAAUCCUUAGGUUACACUUCCUGGGGCUGGCUCAGGUUCUGAGUUAUUAGUUCAAAAUGCAGGAAUUAGAGUUUGGUUACUGUAACGGACCGUGUUGCACAAAAGGGGUAAAAACCGUUUAGGCGAUCGGCCCCCUUUCCAGAGGUACAGGCACAGCUACUGCAGAACACCAAACUCCCGAACUGGAUACAAAAUAGCACUCCAACUCCUGAACUGGAACCUCCCAAAUAGCUGCUAGCAGACGAACAGGAAAAGCAGACAAUCAGUUUACACUCCUGGCAAUCAGUCUCUAACAGCAUACAGUGAAUCCCCCCAAGAACGAGACAAUGCUCUGUGUUGAG